rnacentral:siRNA from 1 species
AGGCACUUUGUUCUUGGUGUCGAC